rnacentral:lncRNA from 1 species
AUCAAACCUCCACGAACGUCCAAGUUAAGACUACCAUCGUGAUCCUGAGGACUUCACGAACACGGGGAUACCAAAUUCAGGUGAGUUUCAUUUCGAAAAACCCUAGUUUUUAAAGCACCGUGAAAUGGCACUAUUCAUGAUCUUCUAAAUGACUACGUUUUAGGCUAAAAAAAGCUCACAGUGAGCUUAGUGAGGUCCCAAGGAAGCUCGGAGUGCUUCGUUGGAAGUUUUUGGACGUAAGAACACGGAGAUCGAUAAGUUCAAAGUUUGGCCGGAGCUUUCGAGGCAUUUUCCGGCGAAUACCCGGUGAGUUAGGAGUCGAGGUAGGUAUCAAUCUCUUCGUCUCGUCAAUUAAUACAACUUUCCUUUUUGUUUCACUCAAUUUAGUUGAGUAUUGAAGAAGUUAUACUCAUUUGAAAAAUACCCAGUUUCCGGCGACCUCCGAGGCUUUCGAGGAAGUUUCCGGCCAAACCACGGCG